rnacentral:rRNA from 1 species
AUUGAACGCUGGCGGCAUGCCUUACACAUGCAAGUCGAACGGCAGCACGGGUGCUUGCACCUGGUGGCGAGUGGCGAACGGGUGAGUAAUACAUCGGAACAUGUCCUGUAGUGGGGGAUAGCCCGGCGAAAGCCGGAUUAAUACCGCAUACGAUCCACGGAUGAAAGCGGGGGACCUUCGGGCCUCGCGCUAUAGGGUUGGCCGAUGGCUGAUUAGCUAGUUGGUGGGGUAAAGGCCUACCAAGGCGACGAUCAGUAGCUGGUCUGAGAGGACGACCAGCCACACUGGGACUGAGACACGGCCCAGACUCCUACGGGAGGCAGCAGUGGGGAAUUUUGGACAAUGGGCGAAAGCCUGAUCCAGCAAUGCCGCGUGUGUGAAGAAGGCCUUCGGGUUUAAAGCACUUUUGUCCGGAAAGAAAUCCUUGACUCUAAUACAGUCGGGGGAUGACGGUACCGGAAGAAUAAGCACCGGCUAACUACGUG